GUAGGCCUGUGGGUUCAUCAUCGGCCAUAUGUGUACCAAGAUCCCAGUGGGUAUGCUCUGGGCUGUACCCAGGGUGCUGCCGUGGGCAGGGUAGACAGAUGGUUUUCUUAAGAAGAGGGUUGGGUAAACUAGGAUAGCCCGGGCCAUGCAGCUCUGCAUCAUGCUAAGUGGCUAGGAGGGCAGAGGUGGGCAGAGCCUCUGGGCAGGUUGGCAGAAGAAUGUGGGUGGGGGGAUCUACUGGACUAGUAGGGUGAGGUGUGGAGGGGAAGAUGGAAGGCGGGGUUGGAUGGCUGGCUCCGGGGUGUACGUUGGACCUCAGAGGCCAAGGGUUAGGUGCCCUGAGUGACUUUGAAAGGCAGUGAGUUGUUAGAGAUGUAUGCAAGGAAGGGCUUUGCCUGACUCACGUCCGUCUCACUCUAGCAGCCGAGUGGAGAACAGGCAGUAGGAAGUAAGGGUGACAUGGGAGGCUGUGACAGUCACCCAGAGAAGACAUAAUGGCGGCUCAGAUGGAAGUGAAGACUAAUGUCCCCAGACCACAGACGGUGGUGUUUGAUGCAUGUUUUAGACAUGUACAUAUGAUUGAGGGGAGGGACAGCUUGAGUGACAUCCAAGACCCAGCAGUGUUGGUGAAAUGAGGACCCCCAUAGCGGGGCACAAGUCUCAGAGCUCCAGGACCUCAAUGUAUGGUUCAGACCUGCGUGACUUAAUACGGUUCCUCGUGUUAUGGAGAGUCGCCUCACCAUAAAGUUAGUUUUGUUGACACAUCAUAACUGUAAUUUUGUUAGUUAUACAUCAUAAUGUGAAUAUUUUUUUGGAGAUAGAGGUUUGUCAAAGGGGUUGCAGCCCAUAGGUUGAGAGGCGCUCUACUAGACCCUUCUUGGCAUUUCUUAUCCAGGAUCCCAUUAGUGAUGGUGUAGAGCUGUCUUCUGACUUAGGGAUGCUGGGAUGGAACCCAAGACCUUGCACAUGCUAGGCAAGAGCUCUACUGUUGCUGCACACAGAGAUUCCUUCUGUAAUCUUCUUCUUCUGCCUUUUUCCUCCUUGGGUGGUGUUAUGGGUAGGGCUUGAGCAAGCUCAUUGCAGAAGUCUAGGUCUCCUGUCCACCUCCCUGACCUUACCCUGCAGGUCCCUGACAUCUUGGUCCCUGGCCUUCUGGGAACUGUCAAGACUGUGCCUCAGCAGGAGACAGAGGCAGGCAGAUCUUUGUGAGUUUGGGGUCAGCCUGGUCUACAUAGCCAUUUCCAGGACAGACAGGGCUAUGUAGAGAGACCCUGUCUCAAGGCAACAUGACUGUGUCUCAGGCUACAGGCAAAUCAUGCUAGAAACUCGUUGAAAGUUGAUCCCAAGUCACCAAUUGGUGUCUGACACCUUCAGAGAACACCAUGUCUGAUCCCUGGUACAGCCUGCAUGAGAAUGGUGGUUUUCUGACCCAGGAGAGAACAUGAAUAGUGGGACCCAACCCUGGGCAAGUCUGACCUACUGAGGACCUCAGGGUCUGCUUCCUAGUGGGUGAUUUCCAAGGCUUUCACGGGAGAGGGAAAGUGGGACAGUUCCCAUUGUAUUGAUGGAGAGUCAGCAGUGCUCCCUGCCCCCCCCCGUGUGUGUGUGUGUGUGUGUGCACCUGUGGUUUGUUUUCUGAGAUAGGACCUCUAUAGUUUGAUGGCUAUGUAACAAAGAUGACCUUGGUUGUAGAGAUUGGACCUACAGUUGUAGAAAUUUUUUCAUCCCAAGCCAGGGUUUCUACCACUUAGUUCCUGGAUAAAAGACACAUACAACCUCUAUAUUUACAAUAAGCUUUGAUCAGCACAAGAGCUGGGCAGAUCUACCCUCUAUGCUAUUAGAAUCUACUUUCCUACUGAUAACCCCAAGUUAUUACUUACUAUGUUAACUCCAGUUGGCCAGCCCUUGGUGCCAUGUUUUCAUAACUCCUAAACACAUGGCAUCUCUCUGUUCCUUCUUCCCUUUCUUCCCCUUUAUGGUUCUCCUCAGACCCCCAAGCCCAGGGAUCCUAAACCCCGCCUAUGUCUCUCCUGUCCAGCUAUUGGCUAUCAGCAUCUUUCUCCACCAAUCAGAAAUAACUUGGAGGCAAGUUUACAAAGCAUCACUUGGAUCUAUAGACUUUCUUGUCUCUAGGGCAGCAACCAGGGUUUGGGGGCCUGUACUUAGCAUUACAAUAAUACAUAGCAAAAGACCUCAACAGCCUACUGCCUGCAUCUUCCAAGAGCUGGGAUUAGCAGUGUGUACCACCCAUACCCCAGACCCUUAAAUUGUUUGUUUGUUUGUUUGUUUUUCCUGCUUCUCAGACCAUCUACUCUGAGCUGGCAGGAAUGAGGUAUUGGUUCAUUUCCCAGAAGCCUUAAGGAGAGAGAGGUAUUUAUUGCAGUUGUAUAUAGCGAUGCUUUUGUGUGUGAACAGCUCUCAGUUAGCCAGUGGCCUUGCAGGGGUCUAGGUUAGCACUUUCCUGCCACAGCCCCGGGGCUAGCUCAUGGUCAGCACCAUUCAUGGCUUUAAUAAACCUGCUCCUACCAAAUGAGCUGGUCCUGGUUCCUGUGUGCCUCUCCAAGGCUUUCAGAUUUGUCAUAUUUCAGUGCUCUGUAGUUCAUUUGGGGCCAUGACAUAGCUUCCUUCUUUUAGAUGGGGAGGCUGAGCUGAGUGCUUUGGAGCCUCUUGGGACCUUCAGGAAGCCAGGGCCUGGUCACAAAUGACUUUCCUGUUAUUCCCACACCCUCUGGGCCUCAUGACCCCUGAAAUGUGUGCUUCACAGUGUGUGGGGGAAGUUCAAGGCUAUCCCUCAACUACUUAGUACGUUUGAGGCUACCUCAGCUACCAAAACCCUGUCUCAAAACUAAGCAUGCCAAAGACCAGGUGUGGUUUAAUUCCAGUACUCAGGAAGCAGAGGCAGGUGGAUCUCUGUGAGUUUGAAACCAGCCUUGGCUACACAAUGAGUUCCAGAACAGCCAAGGCUAUGUGGACAGACUCUCAAAAAAACAGACCAACCAAACAACAACAACAAAACCCCAAUGUCAAAGCCAUAGUAAACAAUGCAGAAGAGGUGUUUGGGAGAAGGUGGAGGCAGCUCCCAGCACCUCCCUCAGUGUCCCAUCCUCCAGGACAUUUCCUGUUCAGCUCUUCAAACUUCCACUGAAUCAUUAUGGAGACCACUGCUGAUGAACCUGUCUGAAGAUGCUUCAGCAUUCUCUCAUAGGUUUGCCGCAGGACCCUCUGGAGUGAGCUUACAGAUAAGGGUGGCUCAGAGCAGAUCUUUGUGGCCUCCCGAACUGGGAAAGAUGAGAAUUAGAACCUAUCGGGUUUUUUGUUUGCUUGUUCUUUUUGUUUUGGUUAUGUUUUUUUGUUUUUUGUUUGUUUGUUGUUUUGUUUUGUUUUUGGCCAUCCUUGGAGAAUAGGGUCAUGAGCAAGG
rnacentral:lncRNA from 1 species